rnacentral:rRNA from 1 species
CCUACAUGAGGCUGGAGUUACUAGUAAUCGCAGAUCAGAAUGCUGCGGUGAAUGCGUUCCCGGGUCUUGUACACACCGCCCGUCACACCACGGAAGUUGGGGGCGCCCGAAGCCACUUAGCUAACCCUUUUGGGAAGCGAGUGUCGAAGGUGAAAUCAAUAACUGGGGUGAAGUCGUAACAAGGUAUC